GGCGAACGGGUGAGUAACACGUGGGCAACCUGCCCCUCACUCUGGGAUAACUUCGGGAAACCGAAGCUAAUACCGGAUAUCCGCUUUUGCAGGCAUCUGCGAAAGUGGAAAGUUUUUCGGUGAGGGAUGGGCCCGCGGCCUAUCAGCUAGUUGGUGAGGUACCGGCUUACCAAGGCGACGACGGGUAGCCGGCCUGAGAGGGCGACCGGCCACACUGGACUGAGACACGGCCCAGACUCCUACGGGAGGCAGCAGUGGGGAAUAUUGCGCAAUGGGCGAAAGCCUGACGCAGCAACGCCGCGUGCGGGAUGACGGCCUUCGGGUUGUAAACCGCUUUCAGCAGGGAAGAAGCCGCAAGGUGACGGUACCUGCAGAAGAAGCACCGGCUAACUACGUGCCAGCAGCCGCGGUAAUACGUAGGGUGCAAGCGUUGUCCGGAUUUAUUGGGCGUAAAGAGCUC
rnacentral:rRNA from 1 species